GCAAUAGCAUUUAAAAAUUGAGGAUUAUCAUGAAAAGAUUGUAGAACAUAGUACCACCAUUGAGCAAAAGAACCAAAACCGACAGGAUUUGGGUGGCAAUUACAAGGACCAGCAAGCCAAAUAGCUCCAGCAUGGCUACAACAAAAAAACAUAUGCUCUACAGUUUCGAGAUCCAAUUGACAUAUGGGACAAUUCGAAUCAACAGGAAUCCCUCGCCUGGAAAGGUUCUCCUUGACUGGGAUAGCAUUGAGAAUUGCUUUCCACAGAAAAACCUUUAUCUUCGGACCACCAUUCCAAAAACUUUAUGAUGUUUAAAAAUCUUCCAAAAUUUACUGUAAUAAACAACUUUUUCUCAAAUGAAGGUGACAUUUCUUUCUCCUACUCAUAACCUUCUAAUCUUGCCUUUUUCUGGUACUUGGUUACCCAUAAAUUCCAUGCAGACACAGAAACUGAACGGAGAAAUUAGGAAAAACAAAAUGGCAAUUGCAUCAAAGAGAGGAAGCAUGGCAUUGUCUCUAGCUUUUAUGCUGCACAUUGCUUUCUUUAGCACAGGUAUAUCAACAAGCAGGGCUGCCCUUCUCAAUGGUAACAUAAACUUUUCAUGGAAUGGCGAGGGCGUAGCUGAUGAAUCCAUUAAAGAAGAGAUUUUCAUGGAAUCCCAUGCCAGUCAAAGGCUUCUUGCAGGUGCCCCCCCUAAGUAUAUUACUUACAAAGCUUUGGAUAAUAAACAAGGAUUCUGUGAUGAGAAAAAAUAUGCUAACUGCAUGAAGCCCUAUAAUCUCGGUGAAAACAAAUGCACUUUCUACAAUAGAUGCAGAGGCCGCUGAAGAUGGUGAAAGAGAAGAAAAUCAGUAGAUUUGAAGCAUUAUCUCCAAUUCAUCGCUAUGCUUAAAAGAAUGUAUGUAAGUCUACUACUUGAUCAAACAAGGCAAUGAUAAGUCUACUACUUGAUCAAAUAAGGCAAUGAUGUCAGGGAAUACAAGACUCUGCCGACUGCCAUCUUAUUUAGGUUCUAAGAUCCUGUGUUCUGAUGCUCUGUUUUUGAAUUUGCUAAAUGCAAGGAUUUAUUUCUGCAACAGAAUAGGGAUUCGGAUUUUGUGUUUAAUUCUGGAUAAAUCAACUUUUAAAAAAUGGUAAGUAAAAAUGGAUGAAGCAAGUAAUUGUAUGAAGAAACUAAAAUGCCCUCCAAUAAUUUUCUCUAAAAAUAAAAUAUAAAUACAAUAAUUCGAGUCUCAUACUAAUUGCAAGCAACAAAUUAUAAAAGCACCAAUUAUGAGUUCUAAUUUUAUUGUAAAACUAGAUUUUGGCCUGCACUUUGCUGAGGCCUGUUAUAAUUGUAAUAGUAAUUUUAUUUGUGUAAAGGCUAAGUCUAUUCUUAUCUCUUUUAGAAUGAAAGUCUGAUCCCUUGUUUGUUAUAUAACGACAUUGUUACUCUCUCAUUUCAUUACAUGCAUAUUUAAAAAUAAGAAAAUGAAAUAAUUAAUUACCAAUAUAUUUAAAUAUUUGAACAAAAAAAAAUCUUUAUAAUUUCAUUUAUAUUUAUUUUUUUAAAUUCACAUCAUAAAUUUUUAUAACAACAAUAACAAAUUUUUAAAAAUAUAUAAACAUAGAAAUCCCCCCAUGGAAAGCCAUUUAACAUUUACAUUUUUUUCAUAUGAAUUUCACCCAACCCAACCAUAUGGAAAACGAAAUAACUAAAUAUUUAUGAAUAUCCAAUUCUAAUUAUCUUACCCGUCUUUAGUUAAAAGUGUUUCAUGACGAUGCAAUUCCUAGCAGCAAAUAAUCAU
rnacentral:misc_RNA from 1 species